CUGCCGUCACCGUCCAUCUUUUUCCCCAUCCGCAAGCACAGAGUAGAGCAGAGCCACCUCGCGCUCGAUUCCGGGAGCCUUGCUGCAUCUUGAUCCAAUUCCUCGCGCCCACAGAUCCUCCACAACCCAAUACACACCCCACACCCCUCCUUUUUGCGGCUAAGCGCCGGCCAAGUCGAUCUCGUCGUUGUUUCCGUCCGUCGGCCGCCAUAGACACCCUCACGGUGAGCACCUUGUUUUUGUUCUUAUCCGUAUGAGAUGUUGGCCCAGAUAGCUUGUGUAGCGACUUCGGAAGCUAUAGUGCAAGCUUGUUGCCGUAGAGACCGGCCGGAGUGCCAUUGUCGUCAUCAUCCGCGUCGGCAAGUCAUGGCAGUGUCCACCGCCGUAGUCGCACGCCCUUCUCCUGUCCACCAGCUUCGUCAAGAACACCACCAGAGGAUGCGCAAGGACCUAGGUAACACAGCCGGUUAGCCCCCGGCACCGGAAACCUCGCCGCCGGCGAGCUAGCGCCGCUACCCGCCGGGGGUACCCGCGAUCAAGGCGGGCAACUGUGCCUUGACCCGGGGGCCCGCUUGUCAGUGGCCGUGGGUAGGUGGAGCGCGGGUGAGAAAAGAGAGUUCCGACGGGUUUUGGGGAAAAAUAGAUUUAGGUGUUUUAGAUAUUAGUUUUAAAUCCAGUUCUCAUAUUUAAUUCACCAAAAUUUGUAGAAUUGUCAAAAAUAGUGAAACAAAUUUUGUUAGGUUUGUUUCAUUUUCCUUUAUGCAUUAAAAUUCUUAAACCUUAGGAGAAGAUAUAAAAAAUUAGGUAUUUAUUUAGUACGUUUAUUUAAGGUAUUUAAAUAAAUACUUAACCUUUAUAAAAUGUAUAAAAUUUGUAAUAAUGUUUUAUUAUUCAAAAAUGCUUAUUAAUCCAUAGGAAUUAGGUUUUGAGAUUAGAAAUUAUUUAUAAUACUUUUCUAAAUAAAAGAAAAGGUUUAAUUUAGGUUAGUUAUGAAAAUUAAUUUGUGGGUUAAUCUUUUGGGUAGAUUAGUGUUGGCUUGCAACUUGUAUAGUCGUAUUCUAAUUGUGCCUUGCAUCAUAUCAUAGAACCUGAAGCUCCUGAAGUGGAUUUUGUGAAAUUAUCUGAAAGUUUAAGGAAGGUGUUGAAGUUGCUCCUUUUAUUAACACUUUUAUACCCCAGGCAAGCCCUGAAGCAUCUAUACCUAUCUAUUUUCAGAAAUUACUAUUCAUGUGUUCAAAUUAUUGGUUAUUUCCCUAUUUAUGCAUUAGGUCUAGAAGUGGAUUGAAACCUUACUUUCAUGCACAAUCCGACAAUCCGACCUUGUUUGUUAAGGACAUCUUUACCGCCUGUUCAAAAUAGCUUGCUCAAAAUAAUUAGUAAUUGUCCCAUUCUUAGCAAAGUGUAAUCAUGCUAUUCCAAUCUUUUUAGUACAUCUGGUGCUCAGCAACCUAAGGUAACAUUGUUCAUAUAUAUUUUAUCUGAGCACCCUAAGGUAACAGUGUUCAUAUAUGUUUUAUGUCAAGGAAAUGGCCUGUUUUGAAAAUAGUGGACGGAAGCUUGGAUGGAAUCAAGAAAGGAGACUUGAGCUCCGUAGUUCCGUCUACUCGGUUAAUGAAUUAAGGCCCGUUCGUUGUCUUAACCAGUGAUCAAGUGAUUUUACCUAGUUGCUUACUGUUUAUGGGACCAGUAAAGUCCGGUAGGUUAGUUGGCUCUCUGAUUGGAAAUAUUCUUACCUGUGCUUGAUGUGCUGGAGAAUGGCAGGGGCGUAGUCUGAAACUCACAUGGAGAUCAGGCCAGAUGUGGGGUCCCAUGUGGGGGUGGGUCCCUGGAUUCGGGUAAUUAUAAUUCCGAUCUUUGGGUACGGCUAAUUGAAAGGUCGUUAUGCGCAACUCGCGCAGUUGUGCAUGGCUGGUGAUUAGGUAUUUCCUGUAGGAUGUAAAUCGGUAUGGAUCGUUGCAAUUGUCGAUUAUGAGUGCACUUGAUCAUCACUUAAGCAUCGUAGAGUAAUCAAAUUGAAUAUAAUGUUUUCCUUGAAUUAUUAAUAUUGUAUGAUGUUUAGUUCCACUUGAUUGAUCAAAAUGUUUUAUUCACCUAACCAGGUAAGAACUAAUUAGUUUUAAAAUAAUAAAACUAACGUUCCACAAGUAGUAAGUUUUUCACAAAAAUGUUGAGUCAGCCAGUACACUAAAAAGGCUAUCAUGCUCGUAAGCAAAGUGGACACAUGAUAAACAAAUGGGUGCACUGCUGACAUACAGGUUUGAUUCAGGUCAAAGACAGUUUGCCAUUUCGUUCUGAAUGUGCACUCUUAGUUUAUGCAGAUCAUAUCUGGCAUCACUGACACUGGGAAUUGAAAAUCUAAUAUAGUUACACAUUUUAUCGAAUUAUUAGCAGAGAAGAUGCUAUGACUCAAAAGUCUUCAUCUAUUGGUUACCCAUUGGCGUAGCGUGGAAACAUAAUUGUUACUGAUGGGAACUAACUUCGCCUAUGGUGUGCCCCCCUUCUCCAUAAACUGCAUAGUAGUACGAUACUGUAAAGCUUAAUGAAACACAGGGUUGUCCUUAUUAGAAUAGGCUACAAAUUAACGGAGUAAUUGACAGACUAUUGCAAGUCACAUAUUGAUAGUUAUGCAUAUCUACAACUAUAGUUCAUAUCUUUGCAAGAAUCUAUAGUUCAUAUCUUUGCAAGAAUGCUAAGGACCAUAAAAGUUUAGUAUAGAACAGUUUCUUACAGUUACAGAUGCUAGAACAUUUUGUGUCAUCCAAAUUUGCAGUACCAGGAAGGGGGAAUCCAUGAGUAGCCUCCAGGGGCAGUAAAAUGUGACUGAAAGGAAUGUUGUACAUGCUGAUCUAGCAGCGGCACAAACGUCCCCAAAGCAAUCGCUUUUGUUUGUAGCCGCGGCACAGCUCAUCCCUGCAAUCUGUCCUCGCCUGGCACCUGGCACCGCUCCUUGGUGAGUCACAAAUCCAUGGCAACUUGUAAUAGCAAGAACAUGGAUUCAUGAAGAAUCUUUGCUGCAAACAGAAAAUGGACGGAACAGACUUGAUAUUAGAUGUCCUUGCGCAUCAGUUGCUACAUUCUAAAACUGAAAAAACUAACUAUUCAGUGACCAGCUUACGUUGGACGCAUUUCCUCGAGCACCUUCUGGGCGUCGUCCAUAUCGACAGCCACUCCAGCUGCUGGGGCACUGGCCGGCGAGCUCUGCACCAUGGGAGGUCGCACGGGUGUGCGAGGGAGAUGCCCACGCUUGCAUGUCCCAUGUCUUCUUCGUCGCACCCACGUGGGCCUUUCGCAGCGCUCGCGGGAACACCGUGUUGGUUCCUCGGCGAGCGGUGGACAGCAGGUGUUGGGGAUGGUUGGAGACCGGAGGAAGGAGUAGGAGGCGGCUCUGACCCUCACCAUGCGCUAUCGGCACCUCGGGGCCGACUGUGUGCCACCGCCGUCGGCCCAGCCUCUCCACCUGCGCCCCGCAAAACCAACCAUCCAAUCCGUUGCCUCAGCCCAGCCCUCACUGUCACGCCAUCGUCGCCUCGCUCUUCUUCAACGCGCUAUGCAGUCGAUUGCGUGGGAGAAGACCCAAGAACCGUCCUCGGUUGUCAUCUGCGACAAGCUGGCCACCUAAAAGCGCCCACCCAUGUCGCUGUUCAGACCCCUCACGACGCGUUGCGUCGCCACACGGUAUGGCGUCGCCCGCAACCUCACCUACAAGGAAGAAGCCCAUACCGCAGCCCGGCGGUGACGCAAGCAACAGGGAAGGAGAGGCCCACGCGCGCACGGAAAGACCGGUCGCCCACGUCCAUGGCGACGGGGAAGCGACGCGACGGCGGCGGCGGGGGCGGGGUCCUUCCGGAGUAUGCCGCGACCGGUCCGGGGGCUCCUAACGGGGACCAUCGCGGGCCUGACGGGUAGCCAUGAAAACGGACGGACAAAACCCGUUACCGCCCGUCCGUUUUCCCUCCAGGUAUACGAAAACGGUACGGUAAGAUCCGGUAACGGGAAAAUGGUACGGUAAGAUCCGGUAACGGGAUAGGAAAUGGAAUAGGGUAUCCGGGAACGGAACGGGAUAUGGUUGAGGGGUAUCCUGUCGGUAUUUGCGGGAUCCGUUUAAUCCAGAAUGAUCUCGUAUUCAUCCCGUUUCUAAUUUAAUGGAAUAAGCCUGGUACCUCAAUCCCCCGAACCCCAAUUGUCUAAUCUAGUCCAACACACCCAUCAAACAACCCUAAUCCCCUUCCCUUUAUCUGGUCCUGGCGUCUGGCAUCGGCAACUUCCCGUUCGGCCGUUCCCAAUCCAUCCCGCCGCCUCCACCUACCCCUGCCCCCUGGCCCCUUGCCACAUGCCGUCGGCCUGCCCCCUGCCGUCGCAUACCCGCACCGCCGCUACCGGCCCCUAGCCCUUUGCCGCCGCGUGCCGGCCUGCCCCCUACCGCCGCUCUGCCUCUGCACGACUGCGCCUCUAUCAGCUGCCGCCACCCGGCCCCUGGCCCCCUGUCGUCGCCGGCCCGUGGCCCCCUGCCACCGCUCUACUAGGCGCCAGCUGCUGCCGCCCGUCGCGUAUCUUGCUGCUGCUCACUAUUCUUUUGUGCUGGCUGCCUACGGCCUGCCUGUGGACUGUGGCUGGCGUUGGUUUGGAGUAUGGUCUGUGCCUGUGCCUAGGGCUGUGGCUGCUGAGCUGUGGCCUGCCUGUGGCUGCCUGUGGCUAAACUUUUGGACUUUUGAACGUGUCAUCCCGGCGCUACCCGUUUCCAUUGUAUUUCCAUCCAUGUUUGUCCAUUUUCGUAUACCUAUUUAUCCCGCUCAUGACUGUCCCGCUCCCGCUCCCAUUCCCUGUGAAAAAAUAUGGGACGGGACAUGAUUAAGGUAUUUUCCCGUCCGUUCCUGUCUGUUUUCAUCGUUACUGGCCGACACACCUCCGCUCCAACCUUGGAGGAUUCUAACAAAAGUACCCACACUUACUUAAAAAUCAUCGUAAAACAAUGAUCAGUUUGACAAGGAUAACGUUGUUGAUGACUAUUACUUUCACGGGGAUGACUUUGCAUUCAAGGUACUCAAGAUACUUUUGGGAUUUUGUAUACCGACGUAAAGUUAGAUUUGAGGUUUGUGCUGUAAAACAUGGUCGUUAGGCCGACUUUUGUAAAGUAUAACUAUCAUGUGUAAAGAAGACCGGUAUUGUACUAUCCUUUGUACGACUGAUUUCCUGGGUGGUUGACUAUUCGCCGGUCAGCUUUAGUAAAGGUUGAGCUGAUGUGGCCGAGUCAAAUGGAUCGGUCUAACCUCGGGCAAUGGCGUCCAACCAUAUAGGGAAAGUGGCUUAGGCUCGUGUUGACACUCGAGAAAUCCGUGGACGUAGAUAUUUACAUACACGCACACUCACCUAAUGAAUACGUGUACACAAUCCUACCAUGAGCACAUCCGAGAGAUUGAUCCGACAAAUCUUGAAAUUAACGAAGACACCUCACACACUUUGCUAUCGAUGGGCACGUUACCUACCAAUAAAAGAAUAGUGCUAGUUAAAUCAUAGAAUAAAUAAAAAAAGACAAGCACACAUAUUGAGUCGAUAAGUCGAACCCAUAUCAGCAGCUUAGAUUUCACCACAAGAAACCAGCUGCGUUCACUUGUUAUAGUUAUACUAUUAUGAGAUUAUCUAUAAUGACAUAUAUUAUUAACAUGAACAAACUUAUAGCUAACAUGUUAGCUUUACGGAGACGCUGAAAAGUAAGAUGAAGCAGCACAUCUGGCGGCCGUGGAGGAUAAAAGGCUUACGUUGGUCUAUAGCUAAGUCAAUAAAUAGAUGCUAACAAGUAUCGCGACGUUAACUCCAUCGAGUCAUUAUUCAUAUUUGCCUCUGCUAAAGCACGAGUUAAUCACGCGACUAUCCGCUAAAAGAAAAAGAAUUACAUUUCUCCUGUUCGUGAGGUACAUACACAUCUCCUAAUAAUACAGUAUUAAUAAGCUCUAGAGCAACCGUUGCUAUCAUGCAUGUAGACGCCCAUGGACAGUAGAUGGAGCAAAUCUUGCGCGCGAUCGAGCUAGUUACCUUAUCUGCGGCCCACAGAACGUCAACGUGUAAGGAAAGUAUAGCUACGCCAACGAACAAAGCUUGGAGAAGGACAGACAGCGAAUGGUCCAUGGUGUCAUGGUCCAGCUUGUCUGAAGAUUAGAUCUGAUGAGAUCAGAUCGUAUAUAGGUUCACCCCCAACUAAUCAAUGCAUGCAGUACCGUGGUCCAUGGAGACGGGAGAUAUUUGGCUUUUGUUGGCCUAUGCAAUGCAGCGAUGCAAGAAUUAUUGGAGACAGUUACAAAUUGUCCUCGCGCUGCAUGAUAUAUCCAGGUACUCUGCGAUGUACCGUGAUGUCCCAGCAUGCUUUGCUAGGUGCUUUCUGUUGAUCGAUCCAGAUGUUACUGGAACCAGCCAGGUAUGACAUCCAUAGCUAUUAAACCAUUUGGUGCAGGAGGCGAGGACCAAGCUGGCGGGUGAGAGCUAGCUACUGUUGUAGUCUUCAUGAAUCAUGAUCGUGCCAGAAGUUGGAGCAUCGCCGUGUGACUUGUGUUUACAUUAUUGCUGCAGUAAACACCUCUUUGUUGCCGCCUCCCACCUCCACUGUUGUGAUUAUCAUUGCCCCUCUCCUACCCGACCGGCAUCUGACUCGAUCUUGCGGUUGGCACUUGGCAACAUCGCCUCCACCUUGCCACCCUACUUGCCAAUGCCAUCAUCGCCGGCUGGCCUACCGCUGCGGGCAUCCAGGUGAAACCACAUAUAAUCAUAGGUGGACACUUUAGAAAAAAAGAGAAAUCCUAAAAAUUAUUUAAAAAAAGCAAAACAGCUGACCAUCAAUCGAUAGACUCAAAUCAUCAUAGCCAUUGGAUCUAUUAUGUUUUUUCUAAGAAAUUACCCACCUAUGUCAUUAUGAAAGUACCUAAAGGUAACCCCUAAAUUUAUAUCUAAAUUACCCACCUCUACCAUUAUAUAAAAUAAAUUAAAAUAACCUCUUAAUCUUCAUCAAAAUUACCCACUAUUCCGUUAUAAAUAAUAUUUAAAAUAACCCCCUAAAUUUGCAACUAAAUUGACCACCACUAAUCCUUAAAAAAAUAACUUAAAUAACCUCUUAAAUUUUCAUCUAUAUUACCCACAUAUGCCAUUAUUAGAAAUGACAUGAGGAGGUAACCCUACAUUUGAAUCCAAAUCACCUUAAUUAAAAAUAUACACUAAUGCAUGAUUCUAAAUGUCUAUUAAUUUCUUACACUAUUGGUAUAUGAUAUAAUAACUAAGGUCUAUACAUAUGAUGUGUGUCACCAGUUAUAAAGAUAUAGAGGAAGUGAUGAAAAUAUAGAUUUCUAUGUUAAAAUUAUAGCUCAAACUUAGGAUUCAUUAAACAAAUUCAAAUGCAAAGUGAAAAAGUUAAAGAUUAUAAACGUGGAUGAACUAACUAAAAUCUAUCAUAAUCAGAUGAAGAUAAUAAGUAUGUGUCUACAAAAAUAUUGCGUUCGAAUAUUUAACAAAUGAGAGGUAGCUCAAGGUAAUAGUUUUGUAGCAAUGUGGUCUCAUUUUUUCCAUUGAAGACUCCACAUUAGUUCUCAUGAGACACACUAGAAAAAACAAAUCCUAGAAAUUAUCAAAAAAAUUAGAAACAUCAAUCCUGUAAACUCUAAUAAUUAUAUUCAUUGUUAUAUUAUAUUUUCUAAAAGGUUACCCAAUACUAUCAUUAUGAAAAUACUCUAAAAUAAAACCUAAAGCUAUAUCUAAAUUACGGAGUUCUACCAUUAUUAAAAAUAAUUUAAAGUAACCCCACAAUUUUCAUCCAGUUUACUCAUGCAUAUCAUUAUAAAGCAUAACUUAAAAUUUCAUUCUAAAUUUGUUACCCAUGUAUGUCAUUAUUAAAGUAAUUUAAAGUAAACACAUAAAUCUUAAUCUAAUUAUCUUAAUCUAAUUAUCUUUAUGUGCAUCAUACACAAAUAUCUAAAAGUAAAGUAAUAUAUGAUUAUGAUUCUAAAUUACCUAUUUAUGUCAUUGUUAAUAUAGAAAUACUAAGUUAAGGUAUUGUUGAUGCCAGAUUUUGACACGUAUGGGAUCGGCGUCAAGAGAAGAAAGGAUUGGCUGAUGUGGUGGAUUAAAAGGUCAUGAUUGGGAAUCGGCCGAUUGGUGCUACAACUCAGAAUCGGCCGAUUGGCGCUGCAGUGUUUUGGCGGAUGGAGAUCGGCCGAUUGGAAGGCUGGAGCGAUUGGGCCAAUAUGGGCUUAAAGUGGAUCAGAGAAAGAAGAUAGAGAAAGAUUGGCCUGUGGGAGUACAAUAAUCAAUUCCGAUACGAGUUGUGCUUGUAAAUACUCAUUUUCGUUUAAAAUUAGAGAUAGAUCCUAGUCGGUUAGGAAAUUAGUUGUAACAGGCUAUAAAUAGCCAUCUUUAGAGAUUUGCAAAGAACACAUCAAUCAAUACAACAAUCUACUAUUUCAUCGUA
rnacentral:lncRNA from 1 species